AGCGAACGUUAGCGGCGCGCCUAACACAUGCAAGUCGCACGAGAAAGGGAGCAAUCCCCGGUACAGUGGCGCACGGGUGAGUAACACGUAGAUGACCUUCCCUGGAGUGGUGGAUAACCUGCCGAAAGGCGGGCUAAUACAGCAUGGGACCACAUGGUUUUGACCGAGUGGUGAAAGCGGGCCUCUGUUCACAAGCUCGCGCUCUGGGAUGGGUCUGCGUCCCAUCAGCUAGUUGGUGAGGUAAUGGCUCACCAAGGCAUCGACGGGCAGCUGGUCUGAGAGGAUGACCAGCCACACUGGAACUGAGACACGGUCCAGACUUCUACGGGAGGCAGCAGUGGGGAAUCUUGUGCAAUGGGCGAAAGCCUGACGCAGCGACGCCGCGUGGGUGAUGAAGGCCUCGGUU
rnacentral:rRNA from 1 species